GAAGCCGGGCGAUGUGAAAGAUGCUGGUAUUUAAGGUCGGAGCAGGAUAUCAAGACGGUACAGUAUUUUACACUAGGAAACGAAGGAGCGAAGAGAUGGCUUCCAUUAUGUUCAUUUAAUGUGGAGAGAACCGUUUUUAAAGCUGCUGACGACUGGAGAGGCGAGUAUUAAGGUGUGGCCUUUCUUCGAUUGUUCGUGUCCUUGAAAGACAUGAACCUUAUCUGGCAUGAUCUCUGUCAAUCUGAUGAAUGAAUUAGCAUUUUGGAAGAAGAAAACCCUGCCAUUGUUUGUGACUUUGAAAACUUCCUGGUUCCAUUGGGUUAUCUGUUCUUCCUGGUGCUUGUACUGUAACUGAUGAGUCACAUUUGACUGUGAUCAUGGCGCUAUCAGACCAGCAGCCACUGGUCGUCAUUUCGGUGAUUGUAAAACAUUUCCUGGAAUAAAGAAGGAAAAAAAUACGCAAAAUACUCUUAACAGGCUAAAAGUGACCAUUCAGUUUCGUUUCUAUUCAGCAUGUGGACAUACUUUUAUCAAAAUAAGGAUGUUUAAAAUUCCAUUUUGUACUUUAUAAAUGAACUCCAUGCAGUAAUGCUGCUCACACACACACACACACACACACACACACACACACACACACAGUAAAAUGCUGCUGGAUGUCCUUCUAUAUCCCACUCAAUCUUGCAAAGUUUAAUACAAAUACUGUUAGUGUUGUCAAGUGGGUCGUUCAUCUUUAACUGGUGAGUUUCUAUGGUUUUAAGUCUUUUGUCUUCUUUUUCAUUAGUUUAUGAGCAGUGUAUGACAACUAAGUUGAUGUUUUAGUAGGUUUUGGCUCUGGGGAGGAAGCAAAUUACUUGGGUCUGAUUAAACCUGUUCAAUAAAUGUGUUCAAUAAAUCCAUCCAUUUUCUACCGCUUAUUCCCUCUGGGGUCGCUGGUGCCUAUCUCAGCUACAAUCGGGCGGAAGGCGGCGUACACACAGGACAAGUCGCCAUCUCGUCGCAGGUGUUUGUUGAUGUUUGUUUUUAAAAAGUGGCAUUGAACAUAUCAUAAAUACAAUUUCUACUAUAUCUUUGUUAUUAUUACGAGGCUCUGUGCUCUACUAUGAGAACUGAAUUCCAUAGAUGGUGGCAUCUCCAGGUGUCAUCUAUGGGCUCAGUUCUUUUGGCAUGGCAGCAGCACGUCAACCUUGCUAUGGUCGCGGAAAAUGGGAAUCCACGCCAAUAACAAACAACAACAAGUGGUUUCAAUUAAGGUGAUGAACGUAUGAAAACAGAACUGUACUGCGGCUUGUAUGAACUGUGAUGGGACUUAGUACUGAUGUUCAAUAAAUGACCCUUUUUUUUGGAA